rnacentral:rRNA from 1 species
AGUGAACGCUGGCGGUAUGCCUAACACAUGCAAGUCGAACGGCAGCACCGUAAGAGCUUGCUCUUACGGGUGGCGAGUGGCGGACGGGUGACGCAUACAUCGGAAUCUACUUUUUCGCGGGGGAUAACGUAGGGACACUUACGCUAAUACCGCAUACGCUCUACGGGUGAAAGCAGUGGAUCUUCGCACCUUGCGCGAUUGAAUGAGCCGAUGUCGGAUUAGCUAGUUGGCGGGGUAAAGGCCCACCAAGGCGACGAUCCGUAGCUGGUCUGAGAGGAUGAUCGGCCACACUGGAACUGAGACACGGUCCAGACUCCUACGGGAGGCAGCAGUGGGGAAUAUUGGACAAUGGGCGCAAGCCUGAUCCAGCCAUACCGCGUGGGAGAAGAAGGCCUUCGGGUUGUAAAGCCCUUUUGUUGGGAAAGAAAAGCAGUAGGUUAAUACGCCGCUGUUGUGACGGUACCCAAAGAAUAAGCACCGGCUAACUACGUG